AAGGGAGACCUAGUUCGGGUAGAAGACGAAAAAAUAGUAGUCGAAACCAAGAAUCAAUCCCAAAAGGUCGGAACGAGGUAUGUGGCUUUCAAACUAGGUUCUGGGUUCACAAAAGACCUGAAUCAGGAACAAGGGCUAUUAGCUCAGGUGGUUAGAGCGCACCCCUGAUAAGGGUGAGGUCCCUGGUUCGAGUCCAGGAUGGCCCACCUGCACAGGUGGCAAAAACAAGAGAAACGAGGAAUCAGCACCUUAUCUUACUUACAUAGUAAGAGAGAAUGCUGGCUCUGAGUAAAGAGUCCAGAGGAACCUUGAAAACUGCAUAGAGCUAGGUGAAAAAGCCAAAAAAGAAGACCGCAA
rnacentral:tRNA from 1 species